GGCGCUGUUGAGCCUGAAAUUGGGCUGGAUCCCCUGCAGUUCGACAGGUCUUAGGAGGACACACAACCUGGAAGCCUUUUGUAGGUCUUCGCAUAGAGACAAAACUCUCUCUUGGGCAAAGAGGGCUGAAUGGCCUGUUGUGGUCAUUCCUGCAGCUACAGGAACAGUCCUAUGAAUGAAAAGGCAUUUGGAGAGCCACAACCUUCCCUGGACCACUUUGGAGUUGCGUUACACAACAGAGAAAGAAUGGAGACACAACCCUUAGCAAGUGAGUCCUUUGCUAUGGACAUCAGAGAUCCUGACCUAAGGAGGAAUCCAUCCAGUCCCCCUCAGGAGCUGUCUUUCAGGAGGG